UACACACCGCCCGUCACACCAUGGAAGUUGGCUGCACCAGAAGUAGGUAGUCUAACCGCAAGGGGGGCGCCUACCACGGUGUGGUCAAUGACUGGGGUG
rnacentral:rRNA from 1 species